UUCGCUACAGCACAUACAAAUCCACUUCAUCCUGUGCACGGGUAUGACGCUGAGGAUGAUGACUUUGACGCAGACCUGUUGAUGCCUGAGUAAACAAGGCUGCUUCGCAGAGCGUGGCAUACCAAAACAGGAUGUUUUCCAAUGUCUUUCACCUGAGUGACAGGCAAGAACAACUCCAGUGAAUGGCCUGCAAUUCACCUCUAAAGUACAGCAGCCUCCAUGCGAUGCACCACAUCA